rnacentral:lncRNA from 1 species
GCUCAAAGGAAUUUAAAUUAGGGUAUAGAAUGCAAACGAGCUUGUAGUAGAAACCAAAUACUGUAGUAUUUUUGAGUUUACUUGCUAUGCUUAACGAACGCAGACGCGCAGCCGACGACCUCCCAAGGGUCCCUAGGGUCAUUCCAUAGAGAAUGGCGUUUUUAGAUUUCUUUUAUCUUCAAAAUUGUAGCUUUGAGAGGUUUUCGCCUUUUUGCGGGGGGCGGGGCUAAUUUUUGAAAUACUGGUUUCAGUGUGAGCAGUCUGGAUGCAAAAUUUGAUGGCUCUAGCUUUUAC